ACAUCAGGUCCCGGCCCGCCGGAACCUGGGAGAUCCACGAUGCCGAGUUUGCCACGCUGCGACAGCCCAUAGGCUUGCCCCCCGGGCAUUCGGGUGGACUACGAACACAAACUGAAGCCCUACGACUUGUCGCCCGUUUGCGCUCUCGCCGAGGCACAGGCUGCUCGUGGACCACCCUGCUCCGAAAACUAAGCAGACUGUCGGCAGGUCUUUGAGCAACUGGCGUGUGAAAUGGGACGGACGUCAAAGGACAAGCGGGAUGUCUACUACCGCCUGGCCAAGGAGAAUGGCUGGCGUGCUCGCAGCGCCUUCAAACUGCUACAACUGGAUAAGGAAUUCCAACUCUUCCAAGGCGUGACACGGGCAGUUGACCUGUGUGCAGCCCCGGGCAGCUGGAGCCAGGUGCUGAGCCAGAAGAUUGGGGGCCAAGGGUCCGGCCACGUGGUGGCUGUGGACCUGCAGGCUAUGGCUCCACUACCAGGUGUGGUACAGAUCCAGGGGGACAUCACCCAGCUGUCCACUGCCAAGGAGAUCAUCCAGCACUUU
rnacentral:sRNA from 1 species